GUGAGGUGUCUGCUGUCGAUUCCAGCUUCCACCUCAGUGACAGUGCAAGCUCAGUGAACUGUUCAAGGAGGCUACUGAUUCUGGCCCUGUGACACUUGGUGACGUGUGAGCUGAUUCACCUGCAAAACAUGGACUCUACACCAUGAGGCAGGCACACGUUAAUACUCUAUAAGAGCACAUAAGGUGAGCAACACCACAUAUUAUUGUACACUGUCCUGGAUUUGUUUUCUUUCUGCAUCUCAUCAUUAG